UUCCUUAAAAUAAAAGUUCUAAGAAAUCCCCCUCCCCCCAAAAAAAGAAAUCCCAUUCGGCCUUUCCCCAGCGAAAUCGAUGUCCUCUCUCCAAAAUUCCUCCAUACAUCGCUCUAUUAAAUUCAAUCGGCGAUUUGCCUUCUCCCUUCCCUCACGCCUCUCUUAUCUCCUCUCCUUCAUAAUUUCCGCACAAAUCUAACCUAAAUUUACCCGAGCCCUAGUAAAUCGACUCAAUGCGAGCAUUUUAAGAAAAAACCAUGAGUCUACUCUCUGCUUUAAGGCCUGCAAUCGUUGAUACAACGGGUCUAUUAGAUUCUGAGCCAAUGUGUUCGACUGACGAUUAUUGAGCAUCCUUUCUUUCAGCGGCUGAUGUAGAGCAAAUGGGUUUUGGUUUUUUUUCUACUCCUUUCUCCCUUUUGAUGUUAGCGUAAUUAUUUUGAUCGUUUCUUGCUCUUCAACGGUGAGGUUUUCUGAAAUUUUAGGGUUUACUUAGUUUGCUAUUGUGUAUGUGUGCUUUACUUUUUGGGGUUUGAAAAUUUAGGGCUUCUUUGUGCAAUGGGGGAUUUUGAAUUUACUUUACGUAUCCUAUGUUAAAUUCAAUUUACUGAGUGCAUCUCGUUUGGCAAUCCAUAUUGUUGACUUCUACUAGAAAGUAUUUCCUUGUGAACUAUGGCAAUUUAGUAAUUGUAUUAUUAUAGAUUCACCAUAUGUGAUCCCUAUUUACCAUGCUCUUAUCCUCAAGAGACGGUUCUAUUUUUAUGAUACUUGAUUUGUUUUAUUUUCUGAGCUGGAAUAUCAACAAAUGUAGCAGCAAAUGAUGUGUGAAUAAUGUGAUUCAGGCUCGAAGAGAAUCAAUGGUAUAUCUACAAUUGAAGCAGCAAAUCGAAAAAAUAUGAGAUAGUUGAUUUUUCUCAUACGGUUUGGGUGAAUUUACUCCAGGGGAGAUAUUAACUUGACGAUUAUUCUUGCAUAUAGCUACAAUGGAAACAAAAUCGACAGUUAAGAGAAGGAUUUCCGUACUAUCAUGCUAAAGCAACACACUUAAUUUUUGUCUAUUGGAUUCGAGAUACCCGUCACACACAACCUACUAAUGCUUCUCAGUGUGUUGGUAUUUGGUGCCCUUGUUCUGAACAACAAUGACAUGUCUAUAAAGUUUAAUUAAUGUUUCAUUUAAAUUAGAAAUAUGAUAGGUGAGAUUAGUUUGCCAUAACAUCCUAAGAGGAAUUGCCAUAACGUUUAAAGUCAUUAGCUUCUUGGUAUAAUCUUCCGUUAUUAUUUUAAGAAAUUAUGAUGAUCAUGUUUCCAAGUAAUGAAUUUAAUGAUUGUUUGGACUACUUGUUUGUCAGGAUGCAUAUAUGCUUAUGAAGAAAUAGUGAAUGCAAAAUUUUAAUUUGGAAGAAAUUACCUAAGACAUCAGUCAUUCACUGACAAAUGAAUUCUUUACCUUCCUUAUGGUUAGACAUUGUGCUGCAUUACAACUUUUUAUUUUUCCAUACUUGCAAUGCUAACUUUUGUGAGAUUGUUGCAUCAUGGGAAUCCAAAUUGUCAUUUUCUCAUUUUAAAUGUCAAAUGCAUAUUGCUGUACAGGGUUCAGAUAGAAGCAACAUAUGAGGAAUAUCAUCUCUGCUUAUAUGCUAAAUGUUUUAAUGCUACUGACCAUUAAACCAUGAAAUAUCCUCUGUUAUACAAAUGCAUUCAGUGCUAUGUCCCAAUUGCAAAUUAUAUGAGUAAGAGAAAUGUAGGUAUUAUCCUCAAGAAAGCAGUAUAGUUUAUAGUUUAAACAAUAGUGAAAAUGCAGUUGAAGUAAAUAACAUGCCACCUGAUGUUAUUACAUAUGUUGAGAAAGGUCAAAUGGGAACUAAAUAAGCAAUCCUCAUACCCUGUUAGUUAAAUAUAACAGUUCUAGAUGAGUUCCUUCAGAAAAUCUUCGGACUCCUCUUCUCAUUUUUAACUUAAAAUUUUGUAUGCACUGGGACUGUUACCAUUGGUAGCGUAACCUAUAUAGUCCUUCUGAUGUAAAAGGUUAUUCUCCUAAUCAGCUUACAUUACUAUUUAAAUGUCUUUUACUAUUUUUAUUAGAGUGAAAUUUUAUUGUGGUCA